UGCGUUGUGGAAGUACUUACGUAGACGACGGAACUUUAAAUAUGAGAGGAAACAAUGAACCAAUCUACUCGUUUUGACCUUAAACUGGGACUGAAAACUGGGCCUCAAGCAUCACUUGCCCUUUAGUACAAGUUAGUAGUUGUGUGGUAGUUUUUGGAUGGAAAAAUGAUAACAGCUGCUGCAGAAUGCGAAUGGAGACAGGAUGGAGAGCAUUAGGACAUUCAGCCAGGAAAGACAGAUGCUCUUUCAAUCUCGUUUGAGGUUUGGCAGUGCAGCUUAUUUCGUGAGCUGAGAUAAGUAGUGAUGUAGAUAACAUAGAAACAUUACAAAUGCAAGAAAGAUAAGUUUUAACUUUUGCUUAAAUGCUUUGACGAGGUUUUCACUCUGACAAAGUGCGAUUUUACUGGGCUAAGAUUAAAUAGGCGAUGCGAGGGAUAACACAUUUUUAGAAAACUACUCCUUUAGGACAUUGGAGUUUUCGUUAGUCUUGAUCUAUGAUAGAAAGGGGUCGGUGUUACCCAAAUAUCGGUGUUACAAAAAUCGGUGUUACCCAAAUAUCGGUGUUACAAAUAUCGGUGUUACCCAAAUAUCGGUGUUACAAAUAUCGGUGUUAC